UCUUCAUUGCAGGCUGGUGGUGGAGGUGUGGUGGUGUGGAGUGUCUUCAUUGCAGGCUGGUGGUGGGGGUGUGGUGAUGUGGAGUGUGUUUUCAUUGCAGGCUGGUGGUGGGGGUGUGGUGGUGUGGAGUGUCUUCAUUGCAGGCUGGUGGUGGAGGUGUGGUGGUGUGGAGUGUCUUCAUUGCAGGCUGGUGGUGGGGGUGUGGUGAUGUGGAGUGUGUUUUCAUUGCAGGCUGGUGGUGGGGGUGUGGUGGUGUGGAGUGUCUUCAUUGCAGGCUGGUGGUGGAGGUGUGGUGGUGUGGAGUGUCUUCAUUGCAGGCUGGUGGUGGGGGUGUGGUGGUGUGGAGUGUCUUCAUUGCAGGCUGGUGGUGGGGGUGUGGUGGUGUGGAGUGUCUUCAUUGCAGGCUG